AUGGACACCGGCGCCACGGAUCACAUGAUGAACGAGCUCAACAAACUCUCCACCUACCAGCCCUACUACAGGCACGAUCAGGUUCACACCGCCAAUGGUGUAGGUAUGCCCAUCUCUCAUAUUGGCCAAGCAUCUCUUUUAACUAGUCAUCCCUCUAGGCAGCUCCAUCUUCGUAAUGUUUUACGGGUACCCUCGGUAACUCGUAAUCUUUUAUCUGUCCCUAAGCUCACCCUUGAUAAUCAUGUCCUAUGUGAAUUUCACCCUUUUAAUCUUUUUGUUAAGGAUCGAGCAACCCGGGACGUUCUGCUUAGUGGCCGGUUGAGCCAAGGCUUGUACCGUUUGGAGGAUCCAUCCGCCCCGUGCGUCUUCAGCGGUGUUCGUGUGUCGCCUUCCCAGUGGCACUCUCGCUUUGGUCACCCCGCCACACCCAUCGUUCGCCACAUAAUCCACCGUCAUGAGCUGCCAUUAGUGUCUAGCAAUAAAGAGAUGUCUGUGUGUGAUGCCUGUCAGCAAGGCAAGAGUCAUCAGCUACCUUUUGUUUCAUCUACUAGAGAAGUAAAGAACCCUCUUGAAAUUGUGUUUUCUGAUGUGUGGGGUCCGGCACAAACAUCUGUUAGUGGUCACAACUAUUAUGUCAGUUUUGUUGAUGCCUAUAGUCACUUCACUUGGCUUUAUCUUCUUAAGCGCAAAUCUGAUGUGUUUGAUAUAUUCAUACAGUUUCAAUUGCAUGUUGAACGUCUACUGAAGCAUAAAAUUAUCCAUGUUCAAUCAGAUUGGGGGGGGGCGAAUAUCGCAACCUCAACACCUUCUUUAAUAAGCUUGGGAUCUCUCAUCGUUUAUCAUGCCUGCAUACACAUCAGCAGAAUGGCGCUGUUGAGCGCAAACAUCGCCAUAUAG
rnacentral:rRNA from 1 species